rnacentral:rRNA from 1 species
AACGAACGCUGGCGGCAUGCCUAACACAUGCAAGUCGAACGAGACCUUCGGGUCUAGUGGCGCACGGGUGCGUAACGCGUGGGAACCUGCCCUUAGGUUCGGAAUAACUCCCCGAAAGGGGUGCUAAUACCGGAUAAUGUCUUCGGACCAAAGAUUUAUCGCCUUUGGAUGGGCCCGCGUUGGAUUAGCUAGUUGGUAGGGUAAAAGCCUACCAAGGCGACGAUCCAUAGCUGGUCUGAGAGGAUGAUCAGCCACACUGGGACUGAGACACGGCCCAGACUCCUACGGGAGGGAGCAGUGGGGAAUAUUGGAAAAUGGGGGAAAGGCUGAUCCAGCCAUGCCGCGUGAGUGAUGAAGGCCUUAGGGUUGUAAAGCUCUUUUACCCGGGAUGAUAAUGACAGUACCGGGAGAAUAAGCUCCGGCUAACUCCGUG